rnacentral:rRNA from 1 species
UGGGGAAUUUUGGACAAUGGGGGCAACCCUGAUCCAGCAAUGCCGCGUGUGUGAAGAAGGCCUUCGGGUUGUAAAGCACUUUUGUCCGGAAAGAAAACGUCGUGGUUAAUACCCGUGGCGGCUGACGGUACCGGAAGAAUAAGCACCGGCUAACUACGUGCCAGCAGCCGCGGUAAUACGUAGGGUGCAAGCGUUAAUCGGAAUUACUGGGCGUAAAGCGUGCGCAGGCGGUCCGCUAAGACAGAUGUGAAAUCCCCGGGCUUAACCUGGGAACUGCAUUUGUGACUGGCGGGCUAGAGUAUGGCAGAGGGGGGUAGAAUUCCACGUGUAGCAGUGAAAUGCGUAGAGAUGUGGAGGAAUACCGAUGGCGAAGGCAGCCCCCUGGGCCAAUACUGACGCUCAUGCACGAAAGCGUGGGGAGCAAACAGGAUUAGAUACCCUGGUAGUCCACGCCCUAAACGAUGUCAACUAGUUGUCGGGUCUUCAUUGACUUGGUAACGUAGCUAACGCGUGAAGUUGACCGCCUGGGGAGUACGGUCGCAAGAUUAAAAGCUCAAAUGAAUUGAC